rnacentral:rRNA from 1 species
CUGGAGAGGGAGCCUGAGAAAUGGCUACCACAUCCAAGGAUGGCAGCAGGCGCGCAAAUUACCCACUCUCAGUACGAGGAGGUAGUGACGAAAAAUAACAAUGCGGGACUCAUCAGAGGCCUCGCAAUUGGAAUGAGCGCACUUUAAAUCGUUCGACGAGGAUCUAUUGGAGGGCAAGUCUGGUGCCAGCAGCCGCGGUAAUUCCAGCUCCAAUAGCGUAUAUUAAAGUUGUUGCAGUUAAAAAGCUCGUAGUUGGAUCUGGGGUUCGGGUCGGCGGUUUGCCGCUUCGGCGGCUACUGCCGUGCUCGACUCUUACUAGCCGGUGCGUCUUGCGGUGCUCUUCAUCGAGUGCCGUAGGAGCCUGGCAUGUUUACUUUGAAAAAAUUAGAGUGCUCAAAGCAGGCGAUUCCGCCUGAAUAGUGUUGCAUGGAAUAAUGGAAUAGGACCUCGGUUCUAUUUUGUUGGUUUUCGGAACUUGAGGUAAUGAUUAAGAGGGACGGUCGGGGGCAUUCGUAUUUCGGUGUUAGAGGUGAAAUUCUUGGAUCGCUGAAAGACGGACAAAUGCGAAAGCAUCUGCCAAGAACGUCUCCAUUAAUCAAGAACGAAAGUCAGAGGUUCGAAGACGAUCAGACACCGUCCUAGUUCUGACCAUAAACGAUGCCAACUAGCGAUCCGCAGUGGUUGCUAUAAACGGACUCUGCGAGCAGCUUCCGGGAAACCAAAGUGUUUGGGUUCCGGGGGAAGUAUGGUUGCAAAGCUGAAACUUAAAGGAAUUGACGGAAGGGCACCACCAGGAGUGGAGCCUGCGGCUUAAUUUGACACAACACGGGGAAACUCACCCGGUCCGGACACUGUAAGGAUUGACAGAUCGAGAGCUCUUUCUUGAUUCGGUGGAUGGUGGUGCAUGGCCGUUCUUAGUUGGUGGAGUGAUUUGUCUGGUUAAUUCCGAUAACGAACGAGACUCUAGCCUGCUAACUAGUUGCGCCGUGUUCAUACGCGGCUGUAGACUUCUUAGAGGGACAGGUGGCGUUUAGCCACACGAAAUUGAGCAAUAACAGGUCUGUGAUGCCCUUAGAUGUCCGGGGCCGCACGCGCGCUACACUGAAGGAGUCAGCGUGUGCUAUCCGGGCUCGGAAGAGUUCGGUAACCCGUUGAAACUCCUUCGUGCUUGGGAUUGUGGCUUGUAAUUAUCGCGCAUGAACGAGGAAUUCCCAGUAAGUGCAAGUCAUCAGCUUGCGCUGACUACGUCCCUGCCCUUUGUACACACCGCCCGUCGCUACUACCGAUUGAAUGGUUUAGCAAGGUACUCGGAUUGGUCUCGAUCUUGUACGAAAGUGCGGGAUCUGUGGCCGAGAAGAAGGCCAAACUUGAUCAUUUAGAGGAAGUAAAAGUCGUAACAAGGUU